rnacentral:rRNA from 1 species
GAGUUUGAUCGUGGCUCAGAGCGAACGCUGGCGGCAGGCUUAACACACGCAAGUCGAGCGGAUGUAGCAAUACAUCAGCGGCAGACGGGAGAGUAACACGUGGGAACGCGCCCUUCGGUUCGGAAUAACUCAGGGAAGCUUGAGCUAAUACCGGAUACGCCCUACGGGGGAAAGAUUUAUCGGUUCUGGAUGAGCCCGCGUUGGAUUAGCUAGUUGGUGGGGUAAUGGCCUACCAAGGCGACGAUCCAUAGCUGGUCUGAGAGGAUGAUCAGCCACACUGGGACUGAGACACGGCCCAGACUCCUACGGGAGGCAGCAGUGGGGAAUAUUGGACAAUGGGCGAAAGCCUGAUCCAGCCAUGCCGCGUGAGUGAUGAAGGCCUUAGGGUUGUAAAGCUCUUUCAGUGGGGAAGAUAAUGACGGUACCCACAGAAGAAGCCCCGGCUAACUUCGUGCCAGCAGCCGCGGUAAU